GGUAGUGUGGCCAAGUGGUCUAAGGUGCUGGAUUAAGGCUCCAGUAUCUUUAGAGGUGUGGGUUUGAAUCCCACCACUGCCA